rnacentral:miRNA from 1 species
AUUCUAUUAGGUUGGUGCAAAAGUAAUUGUGGUUUUUGCCGUUACUUUCAAUUGCAAAAAUGGCAAUUACUUUUGCCUCAAUCUAAUACAUGU